rnacentral:rRNA from 1 species
GAAAGCGUAACAGCUCACUAGUCUAGCGAUUCUGCGCCGAAAAUAUAACGGGGCUAAAAUAGACACCGAAGUCGUAGAUUCACACUGGUGUGUGAGUGGUAGGAGAGCGUUCUAAACAGCGUUGAAGGUAUACCGGUAAGGAGUGCUGGAGCGUUUAGAAGUGAGCAUGCAGGCAUGAGUAGCGAUAAAAGAGGUGAGAAUCCUCUUCGCCGUAAACCCAAGGUUUCCUACACUAUGCUCGUCAUUGUAGGGUUAGUCGGGUCCUAAGACGAGUCCGAAAGGGGUAGUCGAUGGCAAAUCGGUUAAUAUUCCGAUACUAACGAUAGUAUGCGAUGGGGGGACGCUUAGGGCUACGCGAGCUGGCUGAUGGAAUAGCCAGUCGAAGGAUGUAGGUUGACUUUCAGGCAAAUCCGAAAGUUGUAUCCGAGAUCUUACAGGCGCACAAAGUUCUUCGGAACCGCGUGCGAAUCGCCGAUGCCGUCG